GGGCGCGUAGCUCAGCGGGAGAGCACUGCCUUCACACGGCAGGGGUCACAGGUUCGAUCCCUGUCGCGCCCACCA
rnacentral:tRNA from 1 species